AUAAUGAUAUCAUAAUAAUUAUUUUUUAUUAAAAUUUCAUAUCCGUUCAUGGUUAGAAGACCUACAAAAAUUAUAUUCAAUAAAAAAGAUAGAUAAAAGUGAUAAUCACUUAAAAUAAUGAUAUUAGAAUUGAAACAAGCUUGAUAAUUUCUAAAGCUAGAACUGAAAUAGAUCUUCCAUCUCUAAUAUUUAAGAAUCUCUCACCAUCUUCAAACCUCCUACUGAUCUAAAGUCUCUACAAUAAAUUGUAAAUAUUAAUAAGACUUUGAGUAUCUAAUAUUCAGAUCGUAAUAUCACAAAUAGAGAAGUUGCAAGAUAUUAUCAUAUAAUUAUCUUGACCAGCAAUUGCUUGCUUCUUUCUCUUAUUCGAUCUGUUUGGAUCAAGGAAAGCAAUAUAUCGAGGAUAAUUUUUCUUCUAAUGGUCUCACUUCUUAUAGUAGAAGUACUUUGUCUGACUCUGAUCAGCCUUAGAUUUCUUGGUCUGAACGGGCUUAGACGCCCCAACACUUAAACCUUCUUUUUAUACUUCUUCUUCUUCCCUUUAUUAAAGGGAUGACACCCAGAAAAGGACCCUCCUACUACAUUCACAGGCUCCUUGUAGAGCUAGUGAUCCUUCUCAAAGGUGUACAGCA
rnacentral:lncRNA from 1 species